rnacentral:lncRNA from 1 species
CGCCUGUCCUCCGCUGAUGGGACGUGCGGCGUAGACAAGCACAUACCUACUUAAGGAGCCCUGCAGGGGAAGGACCGGCUCUGCUCUGCUUGCUCACCUACCUUCAGUAGAAGCAUUACUGGAUUCUCCCUUCUGGUAGCUGUGUCAUCUCACGUGUCAUCAUCUCUUAACAACGUUUGCUCCAACAGAUAAACCUUCUGAGCAAGGAAUGCCACUGCAGAGGAAAUGCUCCUAACAGUGCUUUGCGCCUAUGAAGACGUGACUCCACAAGACACAGACAAUAUGUCUUCAUCACUGAAGACCAGGGGAAGGGACCUAUGCCUCUUGGGACUAUUUUUUCCAUCCCACUGAUGGAUGCUCAUGAGUGAGGGGCCCUGUUUUCCUGCAGAAAUCCCAAAGCUGAUAUCUCAGAGCCCUGUGUUAAAGGCUAGGAAGGCUGCUGGGAGCACAAGAGCAGCAGGAUGGUCUGGGGGCAAUGCCCGACCCAUCAGGGAAUUGAUUGCUUGCUCUGCACCUCCCUUUGCCUUUCCUGAGAUGAAGCUCAGAGUAUAUCACUGAGCCCUGCAGCCAGCUGCUGUUCAUGGUGACAGCCUCCCACAGCCUGCAACUGCCUGAGCAUACGGCUCUAUCAGGGACACCUUGACUGUGCUCCUUGGAAAGAAAGGUGACACAGUGGUGACACUGUCCCCCUCCUCUCCGUCCCCCUCCCAGCAGCCUCUUAGGGAAAAACAACAGCUACACGUGUGACCUGCAAUACCAAAUCAGGUUGUAUCCAUCCCCCAUGCAAAACUCCUGGACUUCUUGGUGUGGUCAGUAAAAGGGUGACAAGCACCAGUCAUUGGGAUGCAGUGUUAAGAAGGAAGAGCCAUCCAGAAGGGCUCGAGCCCUUGCUCCUCCCUUUUUUGGACACUUUUGGCCUCUCCUGAGUGCCAUCAGUAAUUUUGCUGUGUCACAACCAAGAAGAGCAAUGGAGGGACGAUGGGAGACAGCCUGACAGCUCCCUUCUCUUUGCUGUGGCCCCAGACCAGAGGGCUUCCCUUUGUGCUCUACAUCAUCACCUCCUGCAAGGCAAGAAUGACAGCUAACACGCCAGGAAACCUGUGGCACAAGCAAUAAACCCUGUCCUGAACAACACAAGCACAAGUGGGCUCCUUUCACAACAUACAGGAAAGCAUCACUAGCACCUGGACCAUAACUACAUCCAGAGGGAGUGAGGGCAUCUUUUAGGCCGUGACAUUCAUCUGCCUUCACCGAGAGACA